GGAAGGGUGCAGGAGUGGUUGAACUGGACUGUCUCGAAAACAGUUGUGCCGGGCAACUGGUACCGUGGGUUCGAAUCCCACCCCUUCCGCCA
rnacentral:tRNA from 1 species